rnacentral:rRNA from 1 species
AUGGCGGUUAGGGUUUGGGUCUCCGCCAUCCUCCUCGCCUUCCUCCUCGCCGCCUCCCCCUUCGCCCAAGUUGCCAGAGCUCAGUCUGAGGAAGAUGCUGCUAUGCAAGAAGUUGUUGAUGGGGCUGAUCUAGGAUAUGUGGGUGAUGAUACUCCGGUUUCCAGUGAAGAGCCUUUAAGCCCUGCUCCUGGUGUGGAGACUGUUUGCGUCUUCCCCAAAAAUGCUGGGAAAAUUGUACCAGCGGGUGAAGAAACUGAGCUGUUGGUUGGCCUGCAAAAUGAGGGUGAAUCAACUUUGAAUGUUGUUGCUGUCCAUUCAACCCUACACCUUCCUUAUGAUCAUAAAAUGUAUGGACAAAACCUUACAGUUCAGAGUUUCUACAAUGCAUCAGUUCCUGUCUCUGUGCAAGCAACCUUUCCCUAUACAUUUGCCGUGAGCAAAUUCUUGCAGCCUGGAGCAUAUGAUCUUGUUGGUUACAUUGUGUACGAGAUUGAUCAGCACCCUUAUCAGAACGUCUUCUACAACGGCACCAUUGAGGUUGUUGAGGUCGGAGGGUUACUGAGUGUUGAAUCUGUGUUCCUUAUUACCCUUGGAAUUGCACUUCUUGGUCUCCUAGGAUUGUGGGCUUAUGGUCAAGUGCAACAGCUCUCGAAGAAAACAAAGAAAGGCCCCAAGGUGGAACUCGGAACUGGAACAACUGAUGCCAACAUGGACGAGUGGCUGGAGGGUACCGCGUUUGCAAAGGACAAAGCCAAGAAAAACAAAUAG